AUUCGCCCGCUAUCGCCAGCCGCAGCCCUGUCGCCGGGACCCUGAAUUCUCAAUAUUCAAUGAAAAACUGAUUCGCCCCUCCCGCAGGCGGAUUACGGCCAAUCGGCGAGUAGUGGGCGUACUGAAUUCGCCUUCCCGCCUAAAGCAGCCCUUUAUUAGGGCUUGUUUGCUGCAUGUGCUCUGCAGCCAUUUUGUGAACCUGCAGAGAGGUGUGAGGAGGAGCAGAGCUAGCAAUUUGGUUGUUUGCUGUGGAUAUCGUUUGGACACCCCAGCAGGCUUUAUUCCAGGACAGUCAGGAGGAUUCCUGUUACCCCGGAGCAGAGCCAUUUUAGGAGCUUUUACUACAUUUGUAGAGAUGUCAAGGGACAAUCAGACCCGAUCCGCCCCUUCCCCCACCCCCUCGGAUCUAUCCCUGCAUAGCAAUGAGGAGUGGGAGCCAACCCAGGAGGCGGAUGCGACCGACCAGGCAUCUAGUGACCAGCCGCGGUCGUCAAGGGCCCAUGAGAAGUCCAAGAAAAAGCCUAGUAAAAAGGCAAGAAGCCAGCCAGAGGAGCAGUCGGAGGAGGAAGCCUCUGGUGAAGAUGCAGGACAGAAAAAGCCGCGUGGACCCAGAUACACUGAGGCGGAAAACUGUGUCCUAGUGGAUUGCGUCGACAGGUCCUACGACGUUUUGUAUGGACCAAGGGCACAGAAAACAGCAUUUAAGGUAAUGCGGAA